UGGUGGGUAGUUUGACUGGGGCGGUCUCCUCCUAAAGAGUAACGGAGGAGCACGAAGGUUGGCUAAUCCUGGUCGGACAUCAGGAGGUUAGUGCAAUGGCAUAAGCCAGCUUGACUGCGAGCGUGACGGCGCGAGCAGGUGCGAAAGCAGGUCAUAGUGAUCCGGUGGUUCUGAAUGGAAGGGCCAUCGCUCAACGGAUAAAAGGUACUCCGGGGAUAACAGGCUGAUACCGCCCAAGAGUUCAUAUCGACGGCGGUGUUUGGCACCUCGAUGUCGGCUCAUCACAUCCUGGGGCUGAAGUAGGUCCCAAGGGUAUGGCUGUUCGCCAUUUAAAGUGGUACGCGAGCUGGGUUUAGAACGUCGUGAGACAGUUCGGUCCCUAUCUGCCGUG
rnacentral:rRNA from 1 species